rnacentral:rRNA from 1 species
UAGGGAAUCUUGGACAAUGGGCGAAAGCCUGAUCCAGCCAUGCCGCGUGUGUGAUGAAGGCCUUAGGGUUGUAAAGCACUUUCGCUAGGGAAGAUAAUGACGGUACCUAGAUAAGAAGCCCCGGCUAACUUCGUGCCAGCAGCCGCGGUAAUACGAAGGGGGCUAGCGUUGUUCGGAAUUACUGGGCGUAAAGCGCACGUAGGCGGCAUUCCAAGUUGGAGGUGAAAUCCCCGGGCUUAACCUGGGAACUGCCUCCAAAACUGGGAAGCUCGAGUCCGAGAGAGGUGAGUGGAAUUUCCAGUGUAGAGGUGAAAUUCGUAGAUAUUGGAAAGAACACCAGUGGCGAAGGCGGCUCACUGGCUCGGUACUGACGCUGAGGAGCGACAGCGUGGGGAGCAAACAGGAUUAGAUACCCUGGUAGUCCACGCCGUAAACUAUGGGUGCUAGUUGUCGGGCGAGCUUGCUGUUCGGUGACGCAAGCUAACGCAAUUAAGCACCCCGCCUGGGGAAGUACGGUCGCAAGAUUAA